rnacentral:rRNA from 1 species
GACGUAGGAGGCGAGCGUUGUCCGGAGUUACUGGGCGUAAAGCGCGCGCAGGCGGUCACGCAGGUCAUCUGUGAAAGCACCCGGCUCAACCGGGUUGUUGCGGGUGAAACCGCGUGACUUGAGGGUGGGAGAGGUCGGUGGAAUUCCCGGUGUAGUGGUGAAAUGCGUAGAUAUCAGGAAGAACACCUAUGGCGAAGGCAGCACUCUGGGACGGUACUGACGCUGAGACGCGAAAGCGUGGGGAGCGAACAGG